AACAAACGCUGGCGGCGUGCCUAAUACAUGCAAGUCGAACGGGGAAAGCUUUCGGGUGAGUACUAGUGGCGCACGGGUGAGUAACGCGUGGAUAAUCUGCCUUAGAGUGGGGGAUAACUAGUCGAAAGAUUAGCUAAUACCGCAUAAGACCACAAGAACUGCGGUUCAAGGGGUCAAAGGUUUUUCGCUCUAAGAUGAGUCCGCGUAAGAUUAGCUAGUUGGUAGGGUAACGGCCUACCAAGGCGACGAUCUUUAACUGGUCUGAGAGGAUGAUCAGUCACACUGGAACUGAGACACGGUCCAGACUCCUACGGGAGGCAGCAGUAGGGAAUAUUGCAAAAUGGAGGAAACUCUGAUGCAGCGACGCCGCGUGAGUGAUGAAGGCCUUCGGGUCGUAAAGCUCUGUCGCAGGGGAAUAACACAAUGAAGGUACCCUGUAAGAAAGGAUCGGCUAACUUCGUGCCAGCCGCCGCCGUAAUAC
rnacentral:rRNA from 1 species